UCUUAGUGGCGGACGGGUGAGUAACGCGUGGGUAACCUGCCUUAUACAGGGGGAUAACACCUGGAAACAGGUGCUAAUACCGCAUAAGCGCACAGGGCCGCAUGGCCCGGUGUGAAAAACUCCGGUGGUGUAAGAUGGACCCGCGUCUGAUUAGCUUGUUGGCGGGGUAGAGGCCCACCAAGGCGACGAUCAGUAGCCGGCCUGAGAGGGUGGACGGCCACAUUGGGACUGAGACACGGCCCAAACUCCUACGGGAGGCAGCAG
rnacentral:rRNA from 1 species